rnacentral:tRNA from 1 species
GUUUUAAUAGUUUAAUAUAAAACAAUGAUUUUGUAAAUCAUAAAUGGUAAAUUAUCUUAAAACU